rnacentral:rRNA from 1 species
AUUGAACGCUGGCGGCAUGCCUUACACAUGCAAGUCGAACGGCAGCACGGGAGCAAUCCUGGUGGCGAGUGGCGAACGGGUGAGUAAAGUAUCGGAACGUGCCCAGUCGUGGGGGAUAACGUAGCGAAAGUUACGCUAAUGCCGCAUACGAUCUAUGGAUGAAAGCGGGGGAUCGCAAGCCCUCGCGCGAUUGGAGCGGCCGAUAUCAGAUUAGGUAGUUGGUGGGGUAAAGGCUCACCAAGCCGACGAUCUGUAGCUGGUCUGAGAGGACGACCAGCCACACUGGGACUGAGACACGGCCCAGACUCCUACGGGAGGCAGCAGUGGGGAAUUUUGGACAAUGGGCGCAGGCCUGAUCCAGCCAUGCCGCGUGCAGGAUGAAGGCCUUCGGGUUGUAAACUGCUUUUGUACGGAACGAAAAGGUUUGACUUAAUACGUUGGACUCAUGACGGUACCGUAAGGAUAAGCACCGGCUAACUACGUGCCAGCCGCCGCGGUAA